CAGGGCUCGUCCAUCCCCAGCUCCAUGAAGAAGCUGGUGGUGACCAAGCUGAGCCAAAACUUCAGGGAAGCGGUUACCCUGCGGCAGGACUCGCCCGUGCCGCUGCCGGGAGACGGAGACCUCCUUGUCAGGAACAGGUCUUACAAACAGGCUGGGCACGAGAAGCUUACGUGGUUCUGCAUAGGGGAGCUUUCACUGGGAAACGUUACUAAAUCCUGCACAGUGCUAUGGCAACAAAUAAGGGCUUGGAAAGAGCAUGAGUUCUUGGCACCUAUUCUGCAGAUGUCUCAGCUGGAUGGUCUGUAACACCUCCGGAGAAGAAUAUGAGUCCUCUGCUUGCUCGCUCACUCAGCAUAAUGAAAAGAAGCGAUGAAAUACUCAAAGUCAGAGCCAUUCUCACCCCCUGUAAAUCUGCUGCAGUACCUUUUGUUACCUAUGUACAGAUCCAGGAAUAAAUUUUGGCCCUGAUCGUGGAAUAUUCACUCACUUUCAAAUACGGAUGUGACCUGCCUUCUCCUUCUGCGACUAACAGGGUGACCAGAGGCAGUGGAACAUACACCAGGACUGGAAAGAAUAAAACCAGAGGGAAAGCAAGCUGUCAAGAGAACAGUGUACUGAAGAGGAAAAAUAAUAUACUGUGCCGCAGCACCUUUUUUGUGGAAGAGAUGCAAUGCUUCCUCCAGCUCUGCCAGCUGCCAUGCAGACCAGAGCCAAAGUACAGCAACGUGAACAUGUCGUUAGUGUACGGGGCAACCCACAGCCAUCACAGGGCACAGCGCUUCUCUCCUACCUCCAACAUGCUGCCUUUUCUCUGCAGCAUUUGUUUACUUUCUCAUCAGGACCGACACAGGCCAAUUAGUGUAGUGUAAUUGUUUAACCUAGUCAGCGCGCUGCACUGGGUAGAAGAGUGUGCUUGUUGCGAGGGAGGCAGCGACGAAGGAGCGGUCGCCGGCUGCGGCGCGGUGCGAAGGCCUUCAGGAAUCGCUGACACGACACCGUCCCUGGGAAGCGCAAGUUGCUCUGACAUCCCGGCAGCCCCGAUUCCUUGUUCUCUGUCACCACUAUCACGGUACGAUCAAUUCCCAGAGCUAAUUCUUCAACCGCACCGUGCCCAGAGCGCUGCACAGCAUUAUCUCCUUCCUAGGAUGCCCCCUGAAAGCAAAAUCUACUGCAACCAUAGAAACCAGAGGACUUAAGUGAUGUGUCAUGUACAUGUGCCGUCUCUGUUUUCAGUACCUUUGCCAAGAACACAAUGUGAGAGCCUGUAAGAAGGUUUAUUUCAUUCCUUCAUCCCGUACCUCUGUAAAGACAGACAGAAAUUGGACACAAAAUAACCGACGGGUACCGGCUUCUCUCCCUCUGACGCUGUGCAGGGCUGCCAGAGGAAUGGUGCUGCUCCUGCCACGAGUGGGGACACAGGCAGAAAAAGGGUUCAGUGGGGAGCCCAGUGCCCAGAGUGGCUAAGUGGAAGAAAAGGCAGUAAGUGGGGUCCGUAUCACAAGAUAUUUGAAGUUGCUUCAUUCUAUUGAUCAACGUAAACGUUGACCAAAUACAUAGAGUUGUGCCAUGCCAUGGAAGUAGUUUGGCAUGAACCUGGAAAAACUAUUGCCUUUUUUUUCCCCCCCUUUACUGUUGAGAGUUGGGGUGGGACAAAAGACCACUCGGGUGGCCAUUGCAAAGGUACACCAGCUUUAUUUGCCAGAGCUACCACAGCUACAAAAGAAACAGGGGCAUUUUAAAAUGAAACAGUAAUUGAAGAGAGGAAGAAAAUACCUUUCCUUUUUUAUUUUUUUUCUUUUCCUUCUCUUUCUUUCGUUCUUCUUUUAAAUCAGACCGAUGUUGUGAUUAACUUGCAUUCUGCAGCACAGUUGAUGUGACAGUCAACCAAAUUAAUCCCAUUAUGCAAAAUCCAGUUCACAAGUGGUUUUUCUUUUUUCUUUUUUUUUUUGCAAAAUUAUGUCAAUUUCCCCAUAAAUUGGAGAGACCAUGUCAGUUUUCUGUAUUGCACAUAGACACUACACAGUGCUGUAUGUCUAUAUUCCUUUAAUGCAGAAAGAUACAAAUUUUAGCUCGGUGGCACAAAUUAAGAUUCAUAACUUUAAUGCUGAUGUUUCUGUUUACAUGAGGCUUGUAGGAGAAUUUCCAUUAGUUUUGGCAUUCAUUUUCAUUCUUGCAUUUCAUAACAUACCAGCUAUUAAAAUAAUAAUAAAAUAGAAAAGGAUGAAGAGCUUUAAAAAAUAACCAACCAGCCACCUGAAAUAAAAAUCCAUAAUUAUUUUGAUAAUGGAAGCAUGAUUUUUCUCUCCCACUUCUUUAUUUUUUCCCCUCCCUUCUUCCCUUUUAAAGGAAUUUGCCGCCUGUGGUAAACAAGCCUCCUCGAGGCCCCCCGUCGUGUGCGUGGUGUCAGGCGGCUGGAGCAGGAGACAUUUCCACAACUGCUACCCUUUUAGCUGAAUGUGGCCAUGCAGUAGGUGGCCAAAUCUGUUUGGCUUUCACCGAGAUCUGUGAAUUCCCUGCAUCCAACCAACUUGUCAAAUUAAAACCUUGCCUGCUCUGCGCUGAAGAACAGACGCGCGAUGGAGGCUUCUUGCACUCUAGCCCUUUGUCACCAGCACGCUGAGCUCCCAACAUCUGCUCGCUGGACUCAGCUUUUGCACCUUGUUCAUUUAUAAUGCAGCAAACCUCGGCUUCCUCAGCAGCGGAGCUAACGUGCCCCUGGUUUAAAAAAAAGAAAUCCAGAAAAAGCAACGUCGGGCGGGGAGGGGAAGAGAAAUUGAGGCUCUAAUGUCUACGUUCCUCACCGAUUUGGGAAGAAAUAUAUUUUUAAGUGGGGGGUUUGUUGGAUUGUACUUUUUUAUCCCAGUAAUGCUUUCUUGUACAGUGAAUUGUUGACUUUUUUUCCAUGCUUUAGAUUUAUUAGACAUGUGUCAAGUUGUCAGCCUCCUACCGCUUGCAUUUGUGUCCACCUUGCAAACAGCAGGGAAAAAUAUUUUUUCCCUUCUCUCUCUCUCUUUCUCUCUCUCCCGUGAAUGUUCACUUCUUGGCAGCUCUGAAACAAAUUUUGAACAGUUGCUGUUCCUAUUGAUAGCAGUAGUUUGAUGUUAAAAAAAGGGGGUUUUAUUUUCCCCCAAGUUUCUGACAUAUACUGUCAUAUCAUCUCACAUCCUACCCUGAUGCAUCAAAACUAAACCAAACCAAGAAAAAAAAAACAACAACCCAGCAGAAAGAGGGGGAGGGCAUAAACCAGCAUGUUCACACAGCUCCUGAGCCACCGAAGAACACCCGCCCAUCUGUUCACCAUUUCAGUCCCUUUGUUCUAUCUUUAUUAUAUGUAUUCUUCAAUAAAAUGAAUUCCUGCUAC